AUUGGAUUACCCAUAUUGGCUAUUGUCCUCCUUGUGAUGGUAUUUGCUCUCAUGUCUUUGAAAAAAGGUUCACAGCAGCGUGCGUGUUGUGUUGAUGCCAGCGUGGCCAAUGGUCGUAAACCACAAGGAUCAGAGCCAGGUUCACAGGAGCCUGAAGGGGAUCCUAUUUACAGUGUUGUUGAUUUAAACACAGAGACAAGAAACAGGGCAGCCACCCAGGCAGUCCCAACUCCGGGAGAAUUGGUCAGGAAUGUUGGUG